GAGCACGUAGGUGGGUUUGUAAGUCAGGUGUGAAAGCCUUCUGUUCAAAGGAAGAACGGCAUCUGAAACUGCAGAUCUUGAGUUUAGGAGGGGAGAGUGGAACUUCUGGUGGAGCGGUGAAAUGCGUAGAUAUCAGAAGGAACGUCGGCGGCGAAAGCGACUCUCUGGCCUAAUACUGACACUGAGGUGCGAAAGUUAGGGGAGCAAACGGGAUUAGAUACCCCGGUAGUCCUAACCGUAAACGAUGGGCACUAAGUAGAGGGAAUUACCAAUGUUCUCUCUGCCGUAGCUAACGCAUUAAGUGCCCCGCCUGGGGAGUACGGCCGCAAGGCUAAAACUCAAAAGAAUUGACGGGGGCUCGCACAAGCGGUGGAGCAUGUGGCUUAAUUCGAUGCAACGCGAAAAACCUUACCGGGGUUUGACAUGAUAGAAGUAGGAGCCUGAAAGGGUAACCAACGGUAUCCAGUCCGUAACUAUUACAGGUGUUGCAUGGCUGUCGUCAGCUCGUGUCGUGAGACGUUGGGUUAAGUCCCCUAACGAGCGAAACCCUUGUUUUUAGUUACCAUCGGGUAGUGCCGGGUACUCUAAAAAGACUGCCGUCGUCAAGACGGAGGAAGGUGGGGAUGACGUCAAGUCAUCAUGGCCCUUAUACCCCGGGCUGCACACGUGCUACAAUGGUCGGUACAAAAGGAAGCAAGACCGAGAGGUGAAGCGAAUCC
rnacentral:rRNA from 1 species